UACGGGGGGUGCGAGCGUUGUCCGGAAUCACUGGGCGUAAAGAGCUCGUAGGUGGUUUGUCGCGUUGUUCGUGAAAACUCACAGCUUAACUGUGGGCGUGCGGGCGAUACGGGCAGACUUGAGUACUGCAGGGGAGACUGGAAUUCCUGGUGUAGCGGUGGAAUGCGCAGAUAUCAGGAGGAACACCGGUGGCGAAGGCGGGUCUCUGGGCAGUAACUGACGCUGAGGAGCGAAAGCGUGGGGAGCGAACAGG
rnacentral:rRNA from 1 species